rnacentral:rRNA from 1 species
GGAGGUCUUGCCUGCCCAGUGACCACAGGUUAAAUGGCCGCGGUAUCUUGACCGUGCUAAGGUAGCGCAAUCACUUGUCUUUUAAAUGAAGACCUGUAUGAAUGGCGAAACGAGGGCUUAACUGUCUCCUUUUUCAGGUCAGUGAAAUUGAUCUACCCGUGCAGAAGCGGGUAUAUAAAUACAAGACGAGAAGACCCUUUGGAGCUUAAGACAUAAGAUCAACCACUCCAGUUAUCCCACUAACAGCAUAAAAACAAUAUGGUAAUUGAUCCGCGUCUUCGGUUGGGGCGACCACGGGGGAAAACAAAGCCCCCAUGCGGAAUGGGGUACACACCCUAGACCUACGAGAGACAUCUCUAAGCCACAGAAUAUCUGACCUAAAGAUCCGGCCACCGGCCGAUCAACGAACCAAGUUACCCUAGGGAUAACAGCGCAAUCCCUUCCAAGAGUCCCUAUCGACGAAGGGGUUUACGACCUCGAUGUUGGAUCAGGACAUCCUAAUGGUGCAGCCGCUAUUGAGGG